GACGAGCCACACAAACGUUAUUCGGAAUUACUGGGCUUAAAGGGUGCGUAGGCUGCGCGGAAAGUUGGGUGUGAAAUACCUCGGCUCAACCGAGGAACUGCGCCCAAAACUACCGUGCUCGAGGAAGAUAGAGGUGAGCGGAACUUACGGUGGAGCGGUGAAAUGCGUUGAUAUCGUAAGGAACACCCGUGGCGAAAGCGGCUCACUGGGUCUUAUCUGACGCUGAUGCACGAAAGCUAGGGGAGCAAACGGG
rnacentral:rRNA from 1 species